rnacentral:ncRNA from 1 species
GUCAUGAGGCUGGGGACCUCCAGUCUUGCACCAGUCCAUGAACAUUCUGUCAUGACCAAUGGAACAAGCUACCCCAGAGAUAACAGCAUAAUCUCCUUCAAGAACCCCUAUUGACAAAGAGGUUUACAACCUUGAUGUUGGAUCAGGACAUCCUAAUGGUGCAGCCGCUAUUAAGGGUUCGUUUGUUCAACAUUUAACAGUCCUACAUGAUCUGAGUUCAGACCGGAGUGAUCCAGGUCGGUUUCUA